rnacentral:rRNA from 1 species
GGAGGGGGCAAGCGUUGUUCGGAAUUACUGGGGCGUAAAGGGGCACGUAGGCGGCCUGAUUAGUCAGGCGUGAAAUCCCAUGGCUCAACCAUGGGAAUUGCGUUUGAUACUGUCAGGCUUGAGUAUGGGAGAGGAGAGUGGAAUUCCUAGUGUAGCGGUGAAAUGCGCAGAUAUUAGGAGGAACACCAGUGGCGAAGGCGACUCUCUGGCCCGAUACUGACGCUGAGGUGCGAAAGCGUGGGGAGCGAACGGGAUUAGAUACCCCGGUAGUCCACGCUGUAAACGAUGGGUACUAGGUGUAGGGGAGUAUGAAAUCUUCUGUGCCGAAGCUAACGCAUUAAGUACCCCGCCUGGGGAGUACGAUCGCAAAGAUUGA